AUGUACAUCUACCCAAAGGGAAUUCGAGAGCUUAUGCUGCAUAUAAAGGAAAAUUACAACAACCCGGAGAUUUACAUUACCGAAAAUGGUGUUGGAGAGACAAAUAAUAGCUCAAGACUGCCCUCAAGGAUAGUAUCAGGAUUAGAUACCAUUAUCAACAUCUUCAAUAUCUUUCGAAAGUCAUCAAGGAGGGCGUUAAGGUGAAGGGAUACUUUGCAUGGGCGCUUCUGGAUGUGUAUGAAUGGGACUCAGGCUACACUGUUCGAUUUGGGCUCACUUAUAUUGACUACAAAAAUAAAAUGAAAAGGUACCUCAAGUACUCUGCAUAUUGGUUUAAGAUGUUCCUCCUCAAAUGAUUGAUGGUGCAAGAGUGUGGAAUAAGGUUAUAAGAGUAUUUCAAUAACUCAUUACUUGAAGACCAAACUUCCUCCAUCUACGUGACAGAAUAUUAUGUUUUUUCUCUUCUUGCAUCAUUAAGGUCUGGUCACAUAUAGCAUCGAGACCCAUCAGAAACUGUAUCACUUGUUCUUGAGUCGUGUACUAUUUAAGAAACUGAUUGCUGCUCCUGCUUAUAUUCAACUUUUUUCUUCUUGGUUAGGAAAA